rnacentral:rRNA from 1 species
GACGAACGCUGGCGGCGUGCUUAACACAUGCAAGUCGAACGGAAAGGCGCUGAUUUUGUGGGGUGCUCGAGUGGCGAAGGGGGGAGUAACACGUGAGUAACCUGUCCCUGACUUUGGGAUAACUUCAGGAAACUGGGGCUCAUACCCGAGAGGAUAUCCUGCUGCGUGGUGGGGGUUGGUAAGAUGCGGCGGUAUGGGCUGGUAUCGCUGGUUAUCAGCUUGUUUGUGGGGUAGUGGAUUACAAAGGCUUUGACGGGUAGCCGGCCUGGGAGAGUUACCGGCCACAAUGGGCCUGCGAGACGGACCAGAAUCCUAUGGGAGGCAGCAGGGGGGAAUAUGGCACAAUGGGCGGAAGCCUGAUGCAGCAACCCCGCGUGCGGGAUGACGGGCUUCGGGUUGUAAACCGCUUUCGCCGUUGACGAAGCGUGAGUGACGGUAAUGGGUAAAGAAGCACCGGCUAACUACGUG